GCCGCCAUAGUUCAACGGAUAGAACGAGUGCCUCCUAAGCGCUAGAUACAGGUUCGAUUCCUGUUGGUGGCACCA
rnacentral:tRNA from 7 species